AGAGUUUGAUCAUGGCUCAGAUUGAACGCUGGCGGCAUGCCUUACACAUGCAAGUCGAACGGUAAGGCCCUUCGGGGUACACGAGUGGCGAACGGGUGAGUAACACGUGGGUGAUCUGCCCUGCACUUCGGGAUAAGCUUGGGAAACUGGGUCUAAUACCGGAUAGGACCACGGUCUGCAUGGAUUGUGGUGGAAAGCUUUUGCGGUGUGGGAUGGGCCCGCGGCCUAUCAGCUUGUUGGUGGGGUGAUGGCCUACCAAGGCGACGACGGGUAGCCGGCCAGAGAGGGUGUCCGGCCACACUGGGACUGAGAUACGGCCCAGACUCCUACGGGAGGCAGCAGUGGGGAAUAUUGCACAAUGGGCGCAAGCCUGAUGCAGCGACGCCGCGUGGGGGAUGACGGCCUUCGGGUUGUAAACCUCUUUCAGCAGGGACGAAGGGUGACUGACGGUACCUGUAGAAGAAGCACCGGCCAACUACGUG
rnacentral:rRNA from 1 species